rnacentral:rRNA from 1 species
UCAUACCCUAAAUAUUAAUGGACAUUACAAACUACCGUUCUAAACCCAAAGAAUUUGGCGGUGUUUCUUAUUAUCAGGGGAACCUGUCUCUUAAUACGAUAAACCACGACUAAUCAUUCCUUUUCUAGAAGUUCAGCCUGUAUACUGCCGUAAUAUAUACCUAAAAAAGUAAUAUAAUAGUGCUUAAAAUUUCCCUCGCCGCAACUAAAUCAGGUCAAAGUGCAGCCUAUAAAAAGGAGAAGAUGGGUUACACUAUAUAUAAAUCAGCUUAUCCAAAAACCCCACACAAGGCGGACUUGAUAGUAAUUAUAAUUUAUAAAACUAUAAUAAACAUUUAACCAGAAACAUGCACAAAUCGCCCGUCACUCUCAUCCAAAACG